GAGCUUGCUCCUUUGAAGUUAGCGGCGGACGGGUGAGUAACACGUGGGUAACCUACCUAUAAGACUGGGAUAACUUCGGGAAACCGGAGCUAAUACCGGAUAACAUUUAGAACCGCAUGGUUCUAAAGUGAAAGAUGGUUUUGCUAUCACUUAUAGAUGGACCCGCGCCGUAUUAGCUAGUUGGUAAGGUAACGGCUUACCAAGGCGACGAUACGUAGCCGACCUGAGAGGGUGAUCGGCCACACUGGAACUGAGACACGGUCCAGACUCCUACGGGAGGCAGCAGUAGGGAAUCUUCCGCAAUGGGCGAAAGCCUGACGGAGCAACGCCGCGUGAGUGAUGAAGGGUUUCGGCUCGUAAAACUCUGUUAUUAGGGAAGAACAAAUGUGUAAGUAACUGUGCACAUCUUGACGGUACCUAAUCAGAAAGCCACGGCUAACUACGUGCCAGCAGCCGCGGUAAUACGUAGGUGGCAAGCGUUAUCCGGAAUUAUUGGGCGUAAAGCGCGCGUAGGCGGUUUCUUAAGUCUGAUGUGAAAGCCCACGGCUCAACCGUGGAGGGUCAUUGGAAACUGGGAAACUUGAGUGCAGAAGAGGAAAGUGGAAUUCCAUGUGUAGCGGUGAAAUGCGCAGAGAUAUGGAGGAACACCAGUGGCGAAGGCGACUUUCUGGUCUGUAACUGACGCUGAUGUGCGAAAGCGUGGGGAUCAAACAGGAUUAGAUACCCUGGUAGUCCACGCCGUAAACGAUGAGUGCUAAGUGUUAGGGGGUUUCCGCCCCUUAGUGCUGCAGCUAACGCAUUAAGCACUCCGCCUGGGGAGUACGACCGCAAGGUUGAAACUCAAAGGAAUUGACGGGGACCCGCACAAGCGGUGGAGCAUGUGGUUUAAUUCGAAGCAACGCGAAGAACCUUACCAAAUCUUGACAUCCUUUGAAAACUCUAGAGAUAGAGCCUUCCCCUUCGGGGGACAAAGUGACAGGUGGUGCAUGGUUGUCGUCAGCUCGUGUCGUGAGAUGUUGGGUUAAGUCCCGCAACGAGCGCAACCCUUAAGCUUAGUUGCCAUCAUU
rnacentral:rRNA from 1 species